rnacentral:rRNA from 1 species
AGAGUUUUGAUCCUGGCUCAGGAUGAACGCUGGCGGCGUGCUUAACACAUGCAAGUCGAACGGAAAGGCCCUGCUUGCAGGGUACUCGAGUGGCGAACGGGUGAGUAACACGUGGGUGAUCUGCCCUGUACUUUGGGAUAAGCCUGGGAAACUGGGUCUAAUACCGAAUAUGACCACUUCUUGGAUGGGGUGGUGGAAAGCUUUUGCGGUAUGGGAUGAGCUCGCGGCCUAUCAGCUUGUUGGUGGGGUAAUGGCCUACCAAGGCGUCGACGGGUAGCCGGCCUGAGAGGGUGUACGGCCACAUUGGGACUGAGAUACGGCCCAGACUCCUACGGGAGGCAGCAGUGGGGAAUAUUGCACAAUGGGCGCAAGCCUGAUGCAGCGACGCCGCGUGGGGGAUGACGGCCUUCGGGUUGUAAACUCCUUUCGCAACCGACGAAGCUUUUGUGACGGUAGGUUGAGAAGAAGCACCGGCUAACUACGUG